rnacentral:rRNA from 1 species
CACGUAGGCGGUCCGGCAAGUGGGGAGUGAAAGCCCUCGGCUCAACCGAGGAAGUGCUUUCCAAACUACCGGACUUGAGUACCGGAGAGGGUCGCGGAAUUCCCGGUGUAGAGGUGAAAUUCGUAGAUAUCGGGAGGAACACCAGUGGCGAAGGCGGCGACCUGGACGGAUACUGACGCUGAGGUGCGAAAGCGUGGGGAGCAAACA